rnacentral:rRNA from 1 species
CCUCGGGUGGCAGCAGUGGGGAAUAUUGGACAAUGGGCGAAAGCCUGAUCCAGCCAUGCCGCGUGUGUGAAGAAGGCCUUCGGGUUGUAAAGCACUUUCAGUGGGGAAGAAAGCCUUGGGGCUAAUACCCUCGAGGAAGGACAUCACCCACAGAAGAAGCACCGGCUAACUCCGUGCCAGCAGCCGCGGUAAUACGGAGGGUGCGAGCGUUAAUCGGAAUUACUGGGCGUAAAGCGCGCGUAGGCGGUCUGAUAAGCCGGUUGUGAAAGCCCCGGGCUCAACCUGGGAACGGCAUCCGGAACUGUCAGGCUAGAGUGCAGGAGAGGAAGGUAGAAUUCCCGGUGUAGCGGUGAAAUGCGUAGAGAUCGGGAGGAAUACCAGUGGCGAAGGCGGCCUUCUGGACUGACACUGACGCUGAGGUGCGAAAGCGUGGGUAGCAAACAGGAUUAGAUACCCCAGUAGU